CUAUUUUAAGAAAACGUUUUAUAUCAAGCUAUAUGCAAGUUGUAGACAAUAAGCUAAAUAUACAAUUAUAUUGUUAAAUAAAAGAAGUAGAGAAUUUUAUGCAAAAAAUAUUACGAUUGAAAACAAUAGGGAAUCUGAAGCUAGAUGUGAAUUAAAAAAAAAAAGGAAAAAAUGAAAGAGAUUAAUCUUGGAAUUUCACAACAAACCUUGGUGUCCAAUGAUGAUCAAAGUGUGCCAGCUAAGAGAUUGCUUCAAUAUGUUGCAAGUUUGGCAGCAAAUCUUGGAGCCUUAGCAGCUGGAAUGACAUUAGCAUGGACUUCCUCUGCUGGUGAUAAUGGAAGAGACUUACAAUCUUUAUAUGGUGUACCUAUUUCUCCAGAAGAAUUUUCAUGGAUUAGCUCAAUAACUGCAAUAGGUUCAGUAGUAAUAUGUAUUCCUAUUGGAAUUCUUGCUGACAUAAUAGGAAGAAAAUUUUCAAUGCUUUUGAUGGUGAUACCUUUUACCUUAGGCUGGUUACUUCUAAUUUUUGCCAACAAUCUAAUCAUGUUUUAUGCUGGUAGAUUCAUCACUGGUCUCAGUGGUCCAGCUUUUUCUGCGGUAGCACCAAUAUACACAGCAGAGAUAGUUGAGAAUGAAAUUCGUGGAGCUGUUGGAUCUUACUUUCAAUUGCUUCUCACUACAGGCAUUCUUUUAUCGUAUGUUUUGGGAACUUUUGUUGAUAUGCGUGUACUGUCAAUUAUAUCUGGUAUUAUACCACUUAUAUUUUUUGGAGUUUUUAUGUUUAUGCCAGAAUCACCAGUCUACUAUUUAAAAAAAGGUGAUGAAGACUCUGCUAAGAAAAGUUUAACUAGAUUGCGCGGUAUUCAGUACAAUAUCGAAAAUGAGUUACAAAAUCAAAAACAUGCAUUGGAAGAAUGCAAUCAAAAUACAACCUCUUUUUGGACUAUAAUCAAAUCUAGAGCAGCUUUAAAAGGCUUUAUAAUUGCUUAUGGUCUUAUGUUUUUUCAACAAUUAUGUGGUGUAAAUGUUGUUAUAUUUUAUACUAAUAGCAUUUUUGAAAAAGCUGGCAGUGAUUUAGACCCUCAUUAUUCAACUAUUGUAAUAGGUGCAAUACAAGUAUUAGCUGUCUUUGUGAGCACAUUAAUUGUAGACCGUAUAGGCAGAAAAAUAUUACUAUUAACAUCUAUAAUAUUUUUGGCUUUAACAACUUGCGCCCUUGGAGUUUUUUUCUACCUUCUUGAAAACCAGGGAACUUCAAUUACAUGGUUACCUCUAACGUCUCUAUGCAUUUUUAUUAUUAUGUUUAAUAUGGGUUUUGGUCCAGUUCCAUGGUUAAUGAUGGGUGAAAUUUUUGCACCAGAAAUUAAGGGUGUAGCUUUCCUGAAACAAAAGGAAAGUCUUUAGAAGAAAUCCAAAAAGAAUUGAAUGGCUCCUAAAUAAUGUUAUUAUUUAAAAACUGUUUGUCUACAAUGGUCCACUGAUGAUGUGUAAAAUUCAAACAUAGCAGACUUAAGGCAAGGAGAAUCGCUGUUUUAAAAGUUAUGCGCAUCGAAAAUUUGUGCUAUUCAGCAAAAAUUAUCAGAUGAUAUAAAAGAAAGUUGUAAACUCGGUGUAAACCUGUGAAUGAGAAGUUCAAUCCAUUACGGUAGCAUAACAAUAAUUUGUAUGUACCUACAUGCCUCAAACAGAAGGUACAAAUCUUGAGAAUGUAUGAAUAAAAUUAGAAAAAGAUCCGACUACGUCUGCAGGAUUGAUAGCACAUCAAGAGCAAUCUACAUAUCGCUUACGCAAGUUACAGAAAUAUUCGAACGCGUAUUUCAUAAUGAAUAGUAUGAUGAAUAAUAAUUCUUAAACAUGGCUACAAAGAGAUCAGAAACCUGUAAGUGUGAGCGUUAAUUGAUAGUGAAAUUACAUCAAGAAGGAAAAUUUCAUCAAGAAAUUACGAAUCUCCUAAAUAGAGCAAGUUGCCUAUACAUUAUCUUUUUUUUUUUUUUUUAUAUUUUACGUGGAGGAAAUCCGCACGGACGCCAGGCCGCUUCUGGAGAAAGCGGCGUGGUAGUGUCGGACUCCAAGCGACUAAAACCUCCACGAUAAUCAUCCCGGCUGCGAUCGAGAGAGGCCCGGGAAUCGGUGUGAGCGUCGCAACGGGGCCUCUCCCCCGCGCGCCUAAUACCACCGCUGAUGGGGCCGGUGUGUGACCAUUGUCACACCGCGCCUCGUCGCUGGAGCCGCCGUGCCAGGCAGCCCGGUUCCCCUACCGGACUGCUUGGCGGCCCCGAGGCGCUGAGCCAUCCAAAUACUAUCCGUGCCCGGCGCUGCUUAACUUUCGUGAUCUGACGGGAACGAGUGUACUCAGCGCGGCCAGGGCGUUGGCGCCUAUACAUUAUCUAAUAAACUCUGAAGCAUUUUAAUUGAAUAAUGAAUUGGAGAACAGAAAGCGUUCUACGUUAUCAGUUGGAAAAAGCCUAGACACUUCAAGCGCAACGAGAAGUCUAAUCUCUAAUAUUUGUUGUCUGAUAUAUAAUAAUAUAUCCUCACUAUUAACUGACAAAUUUAUUUUAUUUAUCUAUUUACUUUAUAUCCAGUUGAGUUAGUUGUUAAUAGCUAACGUUAGUAAAAAUAUAUCUAAUUAGUGUUCAUCACAAUAUCAAAGAGCCUGGUAUUUUAUACUUUAGAAAUGUUUCUUUUCAUGUCAACAAAAGUAAGCGUGCAAACAAACGAGUGAUUACAACUAGUUAUCAAUGAUGACUAAUAAUUAUAACAUUUAGUCGAUAAAAUCAUGAUAAAAUCUGUUAUCAAAAUUCCUUUGUUGCAGAAUGUUGUAGAAUUUGUAUGUUGCUGUAGAAUUUCUAUUUACAGCACCAUAGAUUCACCCUAUUAAGAGCCAUCAGUAAUAACACAUGACAUUACAAAUUCUUUGAAUCUUAAUCAACUUUGAUUUUAACUAAUUUAUUUAAAAUAAGGUAAGUCACGCAGUGGGGUUAUACAGGAUUAUACAGAGUGUCAUCUAUUUGAUUAUAAGCACAAAAGUUAUACAUAUGAGUAACUGAAUUGAAAAUUUAAUAUAGUAUCUUUUUACGUGAGUUCAGUUUAGAUAGUGUUUAUAAAUAUAUUAAGUA